rnacentral:rRNA from 1 species
UACGUAGGGUGCAAGCGUUAAUCGGAAUUACUGGGCGUAAAGCGUGCGCAGGCGGUUGGGCAAGACAGAUGUGAAAUCCCCGGGCUCAACCUGGGAACUGCAUUUGUGACUGCACAGCUUGAGUGCGGCAGAGGGGGAUGGAAUUCCGCGUGUAGCAGUGAAAUGCGUAGAUAUGCGGAGGAACACCGAUGGCGAAGGCAAUCCCCUGGGCCUGCACUGACGCUCAUGCACGAAAGCGCGGGGAGCAAACAGG